UAUUUGGUCGUAGACCCGAAACCAGGUGAUCUACCCUUGGUCAGGUUGAAGUUCAGGUAACACUGAAUGGAGGACCGAACCGACUUACGUUGAAAAGUGAGCGGAUGAACUGAGGGUAGCGGAGAAAUUCCAAUCGAACCUGGAGAUAGCUGGUUCUCUCCGAAAUAGCUUUAGGGCUAGCCUCAAGUGAUGAUUAUUGGAGGUAGAGCACUGUUUGGACGAGGGGCCCCUCUCGGGUUACCGAAUUCAGACAAACUCCGAAUGCCAAUUAAUUUAACUUGGGAGUCAGAACAUGGGUGAUAAGGUCCGUGUUCGAAAGGGAAACAGCCCAGACCACCAGCUAAGGUCCCAAAAUAUAUGUUAAGUGGAAAAGGAUGUGGCGUUGCCCAGACAACUAGGAUGUUGGCUUAGAAGCAGCCAUCAUUUAAAGAGUGCGUAAUAGCUCACUAGUCGAGUGACACUGCGCCGAAAAUGUACCGGGGCUAAACAUAUUACCGAAGCUGUGGAUUGUCCUUUGGACAAUGGUAGGAGAGCGUUCUAAGGGCGUUGAAGCAUGAUCGUAAGGACAUGUGGAGCGCUUAGAAGUGAGAAUGCCGGUGUGAGUAGCGAAAGACGGGUGAGAAUCCCGUCCACCGAUUGACUAAGGUUUCCAGAGGAAGGCUCGUCCGCUCUGGGUUAGUCGGGUCCUAAGCUGAGGCCGACAGGCGUAGGCGAUGGAUAACAGGUUGAUAUUCCUGUACCACCUAUAAUCGUUUUAAUCGAUGGGGGGACGCAGUAGGAUAGGCGAAGCGUGCGAUUGGAUUGCACGUCUAAGCAGUAAGGCUGAGUAUUAGGCAAAUCCGGUACUCGUUAAGGCUGAGCUGUGAUGGGGAGAAGACAUUGUGUCUUCGAGUCGUUGAUUUCACACUGCCGAGAAAAGCCUCUAGAUAGAAAAUAGGUGCCCGUACCGCAAACCGACACAGGUAGUCAAGAUGAGAAUUCUAAGGUGAGCGAGCGAACUCUCGUUAAGGAACUCGGCAAAAUGACCCCGUAACUUCGGGAGAAGGGGUGCUCUUUAGGGUUAACGCCCAGAAGAGCCGCAGUGAAUAGGCCCAAGCGACUGUUUAUCAAAAACACAGGUCUCUGCUAAACCGUAAGGUGAUGUAUAGGGGCUGACGCCUGCCCGGUGCUGGAAGGUUAAGAGGAGUGGUUAGCUUCUGCGAAGCUACGAAUCGAAGCCCCAGUAAACGGCGGCCGUAACUAUAACGGUCCUAAGGUAGCGAAAUUCCUUGUCGGGUAAGUUCCGACCCGCACGAAAGGCGUAACGAUUUGGGCACUGUCUCAACGAGAGACUCGGUGAAAUCAUAGUACCUGUGAAGAUGCAGGUUACCCGCGACAGGACGGAAAGACCCCGUGGAGCUUUACUGUAGCCUGAUAUUGAAAUUCGGCACAGCUUGUACAGGAUAGGUAGGAGCCUUUGAAACGUGAGCGCUAGCUUACGUGGAGGCGCUGGUGGGAUACUACCCUAGCUGUGUUGGCUUUCUAACCCGCACCACUUAUCGUGGUGGGAGACAGUGUCAGGCGGGCAGUUUGACUGGGGCGGUCGCCUCCUAAAAGGUAACGGAGGCGCUCAAAGGUUCCCUCAGAAUGGUUGGAAAUCAUUCAUAGAGUGUAAAGGCAUAAGGGAGCUUGACUGCGAGACCUACAAGUCGAGCAGGGUCGAAAGACGGACUUAGUGAUCCGGUGGUUCCGCAUGGAAGGGCCAUCGCUCAACGGAUAAAAGCUACCCCGGGGAUAACAGGCUUAUCUCCCCCAAGAGUUCACAUCGACGGGGAGGUUUGGCACCUCGAUGUCGGCUCAUCGCAUCCUGGGGCUGUAGUCGGUCCCAAGGGUUGGGCUGUUCGCCCAUUAAAGCGGUACGCGAGCUGGGUUCAGAACGUCGUGAGACAGUUCGGUCCCUAUCCGUCGUGGGCGUAGGAAAUUUGAGAGGAGCUGUCCUUAGUACGAGAGGACCGGGAUGGACAUACCUCUGGUGUACCAGUUGUCGUGCCAACGGCAUAGC
rnacentral:rRNA from 1 species